rnacentral:rRNA from 1 species
CGGGACACGUGGUAUCCUGUCUGAAUAUGGGGGGACCAUCCUCCAAGGCUAAAUACUCCUGACUGACCGAUAGUGAACCAGUACCGUGAGGGAAAGGCGAAAAGAACCCCGGCGAGGGGAGUGAAAAAGAACCUGAAACCGUGUACGUACAAGCAGUGGGAGCCUCUUAAUGGGGUGACUGCGUACCUUUUGUAUAAUGGGUCAGCGACUUAUAUUCUGUAGCAAGGUUAACCGAAUAGGGGAGCCGAAGGGAAACCGAGUCUUAACUGGGCGUUAAGUUGCAGGGUAUAGACCCGAAACCCGGUGAUCUAGCCAUGGGCAGGUUGAAGGUUGGGUAACACUAACUGGAGGACCGAACCGACUAAUGUUGAAAAAUUAGCGGAUGACUUGUGGCUGGGGGUGAAAGGCCAAUCAAACCGGGAGAUAGCUGGUUCUCCCCGAAAGCUAUUUAGGUAGCGCCUCGUGAAUUCAUCUCCGGGGGUAG